CCUUACCAUUGAGCCACCAGGGAAGCCCGAGUAAGAUGCAUCCUAGGUUAAAUUCCAAAGUAGAUGUAUCUUUUCAACAGAAGUGUUUAUAGUUAGAUAAAAUCACCUGGCAUUGACCUUAUAAGACAACUGUACUUUAAAAGUGGGGAUGAUGACCUUUAGAUACAGAAUAUAAGUAUAGCAUGUGGAAUGCAUAGGAGAUCUCGAAUCAGAGAUUCAGACCCAACACUGGUUUCACUUCUUACCAACUUGUGACAUACUCUCUUAUUCUUCAAACUUCCCAUCUGUAAAACAUAGUUCCUAUCUCACAGGUAAUGAAAGUAGCAUACCUGCAUGUGCUUUGUAAAAGUGAAAGUGAAGCCGCUCAGUCGUGUCCAGUUCUUUGUGACCCUGUGGACUGCAGCCUACCAGGCUCCUCCAUCCAUGGGAUUCUCCAGGCAAGAGUACUGGAGUGGGGUGCCAUUUCCUUCUCCAGGGGAUCUUCCCGAUCCAGGGAUCAAAUCCUGGUCUCCCGCAUUGGAGGCAGACGCUUUAACCUCUGAGCCACCAGGGAAGCCUUCCAAACAAUAGGCUGUUGUUUGUAUUGCUGCCAUGUCAAGGAAGAGUAAUAUACAUGUAGCUCACUCAUAAGAAGAAGAAGGAAAGGGUGCCACUAUCAGGGAGUCAACCCCAGUUGCCUCUGUGGCUCAAAAACACUGGAGAUGCAGCAGGGGAAGGAAAGGGUGGGGCGAAUGGGAAGAAUAGCGUGGAAACAUGUACAUUACCAUAUGCAAAAUAGGUAGCCAGUGAGUAUUUGUUGUGUGACACAGGGAGAGCCUGAGUUUGAUGACUGUGGCUUUUGUCAUAUUUUAUUUUGCCAACCACAGUUGGCUGAGGCUAUUGCCUUGAUUCUCUGCCAAUCACAUGGAAAUUAUUUUUUCAUUCAAGUACCAAUACAUUUGUUGAGCAUCUGCCAUAUGCCCAGCAUUGUGGCAUUCAUAAUAAACAGUGGGAAUACAAUGUAAUCGAAAUAAAGUCCCUGUCCUGAUGGAAUUUACAUUCUAGUUGUUUAGUCACUUAGUUGUAUGCAAUUCUUUGCAAUGCCAUGGACUGCAGCCCACCAGGCUCCUCUGUCCAUGGGAUUUCCCAGGCAAGAAGACUGGAGUGGGUUGCCAUUCGUUCCUCCAGGGUUCUUCCCAACCCAGGUGUUGAAUCUGCAUCUCCUGAAAGUCUCCUGCAUUGCAGGUGGAAUCUUUACUGCUGAGCCACUGGGAAGCCCUUACAUUCUAGAGGAGAGACAUGAACAAAAGAUAAACGAAUACACAAAAAAUUAAACCAAGUGAUAAGAGCAUGGCCUACGUGCUAGAAGGAAAUUAACAUCAUAGAUUAAGCCUCAAGAGUCUCUGCGGCUCGAGAUGAUUCUCAGUCUCCAAAGAAAAUCAUUCUUCAUGUUGUGCUAAUCUUACAGUGACAAAGACAGAACUCCUCUUUAGAGGGAGUCCUACAGCAGAAUUCUUUGGAUCCCUAAAGAUAAAAUUCAUACUUAGCAGCCUGGUGGGAUUGUUUCUAUGUCAGUCAUCAUCAUCUCCUCAAGAGAAGUAAAUGUGAACCUCAAGGGCUCUCUUUAAUUCUAGGAUAGGAUGGCUAGGGGUAAGAGAAGAUUAACUUGAUUAAAAUGUGCCUUGCAAUUUUGUACAUUCUUUGGGCAGUCUUUACCUCCCACGAGUACUAAUUUAAUCAGGAAACUCAUCGUAUGAAUUACUUUAACAGAAUGGUACUAUAAAAUAAAAGACAUACUACUACAUUUUGAAGAAUAGGCCUUGUCUGUAACUUUAAAAAGCCACCACUAACCAGAAAGGGACUGUGUAGUUGAUUAUUAUCCAAGAUAAAAAUCAUUGUUUUCAUUUAUCAGUGAAAGGAAAUUUUUAGGGUUCCUAGGUUCCUAAAAUAUAUAUUAUAUAAUUAAAUAUAAUAUAUAAUAUAUAUUAUACAUAUAAUAUAUGUAUUCCAUUUAUUUUAUUUAUCAUACCAGUUGGUUUCUGUGGUUAUGGAGGCCGAGAAGUCUCACAAUCUGCUGAUCUGCCAGGCGUAAGCCAGAGAACCACGAAAGCCGAUGGUGUAGUUGUUCAGCCUGCAUGCCUGAGAAGGGGAAGAGAGGCAAUGAUUAAGUCUCUGAGUCUGAAUGCCCAAAGAUCAGGAGCACCAAUGUCUAAGGGCAGAAAAAAAUGGAUGUCUUGGCUUAAUCAGAGAAAAUGAAUUUGCCCUUUUUCUACCUUUUUGUUCUGUUCAAUUCCUCAAUGAAUUAGGUGAUGUCUGCUUGCACUGGAAAGGGGGAUUCUUACUCAUUCUACUGAUUCAAAUGCUAAUGUCUUCCAGAGAUACUUCACAGACACACCCAGAAAUAAUGUUUAUCAGCUAUCUGGCCAGAAAAAGCGUCCUGAGAGUGGACAGUGAGGCCACAUGGAAUGAGAUCUUUUCCCCAGAAGAGAUGACAGGUACUCCUUGCAAGCUUGAACUGGAGACACAGAGAGUAUUAACCAAUGGAAUUGUGUGAGGGAGCAAAAUCUUUGUGUAACCAGAAACCCCUCAGGGAAGUGGAGACCGGUAAGUGGCACUUAUCUUCCAACCACAUCCCCUCUGGCUUUUUUUUUUUUUUUUUUUUUUUGCUUUUUGCUUUUUCAGACACCUAGGGUGGGAAGGCAUAUGGCUAAAUAAUCUUUCCCAUCUUAAUGAAUAGUACCUGUGUUCACCUAGUUGAUCAGACCAGAAACCUCAGUGUCACUUUUGACAAUUCUCUUUCUUCACUCCCCAACUUUAAUCCAUCAUCAAAUGUUGUGUCCUCUAAAAUAUCAUUUGAUGUAUAUCUCUCCAUCUUUACUACCUUUUCCCCUUUUCCCCCUAAGACUUUAGGUCUUUCCUGAACUUGGACAAUAACCUUUUAACUGGCCUCCCCUCAUCCACUUUUGCCAUUUCCAACCCAUGCUCCACAUAGUAUCUGGAGUAGGUAACUCCCCUCCUAAAAUUUUCAUAGCCCUUAGAGAAAGUCCACAAGAUUUUUUCAUUGCUUAAAAGGCCCUCUGUGAUCUGGCCCUUGUUCAUCCCUCCAGCUUCAUUCAGCACCAUUUCCCCUAGUUUACAUGGUUCUAGACACACAGCCCUUGUCUUUGAGUUUCUCAAACCCACCAAACGUAUCCAACAUGUGUUUUCUUGGCCUGGAUAUUCUUUCCUCAGUUCUUAUCAUUCCUCUUUACUCUUAAGGUAUCAGUUUUAUUGAAUCAAUAAUUCAAUAAAUCAAAGUAUCUACUCUGACCCCUGUUCUGUGCUAGGCAUUGUGAAUGCAAUAGAAGGCAAGACAGACCUGGAUCCUAUUCCACAAUCUUAUAAUUUCGGUGAGAAAAGUGGGCACCAACAAAUAGCAUCCAGAGAAAUGUAAAAUAGCUCCAUGGUGCUAGGAGAUCCUAUGAUGGGGGAUCUGACCUCGUCAGAAAGGUCAGAAGACAGAAAAAACAACUGAGUAGAAAUCUGAAGAAGGAUAUCAUUAAAGAAAAAAAGGGGGGUUACAAGAAGAGCAAGUUAUACAUGCAGAGAGGCCCAGUAGAAGAGUAAUUGUGGGACUUACAAAGAACCAAAAGACAGCCAGUGUGGUGAAGCUGAGAGGAGGGAACUGUGGUAAAACUUGAGCUAGAGAUGUCAAAGCGUGCAAGGCAGAGGCAGAUGACUCUGCCACUCAGGGACUGGGCAGAUAAUGUGAAAUUGCAAGAGGGAGGAGCGGAACCUAUGAGAAAAUGAAGACUAUGAACCUUGCUUCUAACAGAUUUGUAUUUUGCGAAAUGCAGUGUUUUGCAAAACUAAGAAAGAAAUCAAAAACAAGACUGGAUAAUAUCCUCAUGUGGUUAAGAUAUUACACCCCUGCAACCAAAACAAGAUGUUCUUUCCGGCUGCAGUGUAGUAAGUGGACUGGAAGUUCUAGGUAUGUUGGUCAAGUUCACACAUUUAUCUAGUUCUUCCUCCCUGACAAAACCUCACUAAAAGAAAAUUUUUUAAUUAAUAAACAUACAGCAAUGUGGAGGAAAAAAAGGAAAGGAUAUAAAAGGCCAGGAAUUUUGAGGCUGGAAAGCAUCGGGACAAUUGCAGCAGAUUUAAAGACCUCAAAAAGCCAAAUCCUAAACUAGUGAUGGCAAAAACCAAGAACGAACCUCAUUUGUACCCACAAAAUCCUCAAGGGUCUGUGACUUUGAUAGCUCCAAGCCCUUCUGAAAAUCAGAAGGACCAGCUGAAGACUAUAUAAGAAUCAGGUAGAUCCUUUUGUCCCCUCUCCUACUCUACAUUGCUCAGCCACUGCCCCUUCCCCACCCUGGCAGAAGUCUGAAAGUUUAUUCUCUGGAGAGGGUAAAUUAAAGGGAUUCUGGACUGGUGAAUACCAAACAUAGUUAAAGGUUAAGAUAUUAUGCCAAAUUAGGAAUUAAAGGAACUUUCCGAUGGCAAAACACCCAGCCUUUUUCCUCUACUUGGCUUCUGGAAUACUAUAAGCCAGGCCUUUCCUCUCUGGCAGAAGAUUAGAAGAGUCUGUUCUGGGGAUUCUGACCAAAACAACACGAUCAUUACAGAACAGCCCAAUCAGAUGUUCCUAAAAUAAAACUAAACUAGUUAACAUGAGCUGAUAACAAAUGAAAGAGAAACCUGGUAGUCAGGUUAGUCAGGGCUGUUACUUGAAAAAGUAGGGUGAAAAAGAAAAGAUAAGACUAAACAAAAACAGAACACCAAUCCAGGAAGUAGACUAUUCAAAUAACUAGAGUUGCAGGGAAAGUGGAAGAAUGAAAAUCAUCAAUGAAAUGAUUUUAAUAGUUUCUCAGAACUGAAGGACAUGACUUUCCAGAUUGAAAGGACCCGCAAAGCCAGAAUAAAACAGAUGAAAAUAGAUCCACAAAAGUCACUUUGUUGUGAAAUUUCAGAACACUGAGCACAAAGAAAAUACCAUAAACUGAAAAAGGAAUCUAGAGACAAUAGAGCAAUGCUUCCAAAAAUCUGAAUGAAAAUGAACUCCAAUCUAGAAUUCUGUAUAGAAUUAAACUGUCACUCAAACAUGAGGGUCAGGAUUAUGAUGUUUUCAGGUGUAAAUUUUUACUUCACAUGUGGUCUAUACUUCUAUAUCCCUUUGCUUAGGAAGCUUCUGAACUAUAUGUUCUACAAAUAUGAAAAUAAAUCAAAAAAAUUAUUGUAUAGAGGAAAUAAGAAAGCUGACACAGAUGUCUAACAGACUCAACACACAGUACUAAAGAAGUCUCAGGAGAAGGAAAAAGGGAGACACCAAAAUGUUACCUAAGCACUUGAAAAAGAGGGGCAUAUGUCCAGAUUGGAGCACAGUGCGCCUCAAGAAAUGGGACAUGUUGAGAGAGCCAUCAAGGUAAAAAUGCCUAGUGUAACCUGAGGGCUGAGUGUGGCGGUGAUCCUCUCAAUAAGUUCUAUAAAAAGAAAUUACUCUCCCAAGAUGUAGACAUCCCUUUCUUCAAUACUACUCAAAGCAGUAUUGAGUAGUUUACUUAUUCUAAUAUAUUCUGCUAUACAUUAACCUCUUACUUUGGCUACUCUGUCAAAUAUUGUGAAAUUAGGAAACUUUUUAAGAUAAGUCAACUCAUCUAAGAAGUGGUUAGUAUAAACUCAUAGAAGCAAUCACAUGUAUACAUCUUUACAGUAUAGGUUUUCUCUGGAAGCACUAAGAUUUAGAUUAAAAAUAAAUAUUAAUAGCUUAACAUUGUAAUAUGCCUUAUAUUCACACUUUAGCCCUGAGAUAGGCAGUGUAGCAGAUUAAGAAAUACAAAGUGUAGAGUAGUAUUCUCUAUUUCCUCCUUUCAUCCAUUGCUUUAAUGUUUUACAUCCAAUCUUAUACAUAUAGGAAAACAUUUCUCAUUCAUGCCAGUUAUUUUGCAUUCAUCAUAUUGCAUUGUAGGCUCAUAUUUUUAUAAGUCUAGCUUUCAAAACCAGAAUGUAAGUUACUUUAGGAUAUGGAAUAUGUUCUAUAAUAUAAAAUUCUCUCUUGACUCCACCCCUUUGUUUUGCACAGUGUCUGACCCAAGUCAGGUGAGUUCCUGCCUUUGCUCUAUUUCUCUCCAUAUUUAAAGUCACCUGCAAAAUUAGCUCUACUCUAUUACCAGGGCUAAUCUUACUGAGGCAAGAAUCAAUUAAAGUCUUUCCAAAUCAAUAUUUGGGGUUCAUAUUCAUUUCCAACCUUGGUGAGGUACUCUAAGUUUGAUAACUGGCCUCCCACCCCUCAGUCUUGAGCUCUUAAGUGCCCUUGUAUGCAAAACCUACCUUCUAUUAUAUUGCUGUUCUCCUAUUCCUAAUCAGAAAGCUUUCCAUAAUACCUCCGUCACUCCCAGGAAAGGCAGCAAAGGCAAGUUGAGAUGGAUUUUCUCCCUCGGAAGGAAUCUGGAUUGUAAAUUAUAUCUCAAAGAAGUUCUGACCUGAGGCUUGGGAGCUGGGUUUUCAUACGCCAUCAUCUGACAGCCAUUGGUUGAGAACUGCUUCACAGCAGCCAUGGUAGCCCAAGAGCCGUCCUCCAGAGAAUAUUAGGUUCCGUGAAGAGGUGAAAAAACACUGGAGCAUAGAAAUAGUCAAAGUAAUCCAAGGAGUACUUCCAAUGUCUGCCACAGCUCUAGCCAUCAGAAGCAGAUCACCAGAGAAAAGUGCAGAAAGCUGAGUGCCCCACAGCCUGUAGCAGUGGCUGGGGAUCAUCUCACACCACCUGCAAUGGAUGCAGCUAAAGUCACAGGAGAAGAAAGCCAGGUGGCAUGAACACUGGGCCAUCUGUCCCAUGAGGGAGCAUCAGGAAAGAUGCCAGAGCUGCAGCAAUUGGAGAGUUCUGAUGAGAUAGAGAGCAGCAGAGGUGAUAACGGCCAAUGUCAAAAGACAGAGGAAGACCUCAGUGCAAAUAUUUCUGAAUAGACAUGAACCACUGUGGCACUUCCAAAGAACCAGGAGUUUGGGCUAGUACUCCUGCAGUUCUUUGGAGGCUUCCCUGGUGGCUCAGUUCAUAAAGAAUCUACUGCAAUGCAGGAGACACGAGUUCGUCCCUGGGUUGGAAAGAUCCCCUAGAGAAGGAAAUGGCAACCUACUCUAGUAAUCGUGCCUGGGAAAUCCCAUGGACAGAGGAGCUUGCUGGGCUACAGUCCUUGGGGUCACAAGAGUUGGACAUGACUAAACCACCACUACCACAGAGUACAAUAUUAUUGUAGGUUGGUGUGGCUUAAGGAAACACAAAUGACGAACUUUUUUCUCUGCUAUACUGUUAUUCUGCUCUUACUGAGUCCACAUAAGGGUUUAAAAUAUUAUCAUUGAUAUUUGGCAAAACUAAUACAAUUAUGUAAAGUUUAAAAAUAAAAUAAAAUUAAAAAAAAUAAAAUAAAAUAUUAUCAGACAUUAAGGGGAAAAAAAUCAAACAUGUUGGACCUAUCCUUUUACUUCCUACUGGAAAAUGGCAAUGGCACCCCAUUUUCCAGUACUUUUGCCUGGA